AGUUAAUGGAGACUGUAUGUUAGGGUUUAAAUGGUUUCGCUAUGUGUUAGGCUUCCAAUGGUUCUACGAUAAAAAAUGGCAACUGAAUAGACAAACUAAGUUGUGUUUCUUGUUUCUGAAUAAAACAUUUCACCACGGUUGUUUACAUGAGCCAUGAUGAUAUCUGAUUUAUUUAAUUAAAUUUUAUAAAAAGAGCCAAUUUUUAAUCAUUUAAAAAUAAA
rnacentral:lncRNA from 1 species